AUUGAACGCUGGCGGCAUGCCUUACACAUGCAAGUCGAACGGCAGCACGGGUGCUUGCACCUGGUGGCGAGUGGCGAACGGGUGAGUAAUACAUCGGAACGUACCUUAUCGUGGGGGAUAACGCAGCGAAAGCUGUGCUAAUACCGCAUACGCCCUGAGGGGGAAAGCGGGGGAUCGCAAGACCUCGCGCGAUUAGAGCGGCCGAUGCCUGAUGAGCUUGUUGGUGGGGUAAAAGCCCACCAAGGCGACGAUCAGUAGCUGGUCUGAGAGGACGAUCAGCCUAACUGGGACUGAGACACGGCCCAGACUCCUACGGGAGGCAGCAGUGGGGAAUUUUGGACAAUGGGGGCAACCCUGAUCCAGCAGUGCCGCGUGAGUGAAGUAGGCCUUCGGGUUGUAAAGCUCUUUUGUCAGGGAAGAAACACCGGCUCUAACACAGUCCGGGAAUGACGGUACCUGAAGAAUAAGCACCGGCUAACUACGUGCCAGCCGCCGCAGUAA
rnacentral:rRNA from 1 species